UUAGCCUAGUGGUAAGGCUAUGGACCGCCAAUCUGGAGAGGGCGGGUUCGAUUCCCGCA
rfam:Aedes albopictus isolate Foshan contig14282, whole genome shotgun sequence.